UACGUAGGGUGCGAGCGUUAAUCGGAAUUACUGGGCGUAAAGCGUGCGCAGGCGGUUUUGUAAGCCAGAUGUGAAAUCCCCGGGCUUAACCUGGGAACUGCAUCCGAUACUGGAUGGCUUGAAUCCGGGAGAGGGAUGCAGAAUUCCAGGUGUAGCGGUGAAAUGCGUAGAUAUCUGGAGGAAUACCGGUGGCGAAGGCGGCAUCCUGGACCGGCAUUGACGCUGAGUGAGCGAAAGCCAGGGGAGCAAACGGG
rnacentral:rRNA from 1 species